AACCAGGAUGUUGGCUUAGAAGCAGCCACUCAUUCAAAGAGUGCGUAAUAGCUCACUGGUCGAGUGAUCCUGCGCCGAAGAUUUCCGGGGCUAAAACUUACUACCGAAGCUACGGCAUCAGUAAUGAUGGGUAGGGGAGCUUCCCAUACGGGUUGAAGCAUGACCGUAAGGACAUGUGGACAGUAUGGGAGUGAGAAUGUUGGCAUGAGUAGCGAGAUGUGGGUGGGAAUCCCACAGGCCGUAAACCCAAGGUUUCCAGGGGAAGGUUCGUCCGCCCUGGGUUAGUCGGGACCUAAGCUGAGGCCGAAAGGCGUAGGUGAUGGACAACAGGUUGAUAUUCCUGUACUACCGAUAACC
rnacentral:rRNA from 1 species